GGUCUUUGCGUCAGCCAUGUAGUCUUCCUCGGCGAUCAUGGAGCUCUCCUUGUCAACCACCACCAUGGUGUCUGCAAACGUCACUCCACACCGCAAUAGGCUGUCUAAACUUUUGGGAGAGUAAAUAAUAAUACAGAGCCCACUGUGUAGAAAACCAUUGGGAACCAACAGAUCGCCUCCAGGAAGUCAGCCUCGGGUCUAGACCAAUCAAAACAAAAACGUGUCAGUGUUCCUUAAGCGAUGCAAACACUCCCGCUUGCCAAUUUAAAUGAAUCUGGCACAGUGCUACUCUGGAGCGGCUCAUGGUUUUAUAGCCUUUUAGCCCAGCUAUUUUUGUACGCUACUAGCCACAAAUGUAGCAUUGUGACCUGAAAGCCUUUCACAAAUCAUGUUUACUGUGGCCAAAAAUAGCUCGCUUAUUCUUCUCCCCUACCGGAGAAGACCACGUUUUACCACCCUGCGCAACUACGAUUUAUAGUAUGGCCGUUAUGCUCAUAGCAGCCUUUCUGAGGAGCAUUACAAAUCCUCUUCGCUUAAAAUCCAGCCACACCAAAAAGCCCAAACCAAGAAGACCAUCUCACAUGCUCUCCAGAAGCAGUACGAUGGGAUUCAGCUCCUUUCUGGGUCGAUAGUAGGCCCGAAGAGCCGUAGGAGCGGGCAUCUUCGAAUGGGAUAUGGUGACAAGCCUGUUGGAGAACGAGCAUGCUGUCAGUCAAUGUCGAAGGGACGGUCAUCUGUUUCAAGUGCUUACCUUGUCCAUGCGUAGGCAGCAAAAAGGCAUCUUUUCUUGUAGAAGGUGGCAAAGAGCAGGAGAACUACCGAUGUACGGCGAGUUGAGCGGGUAGCCCUUCACCCACCUGGCCCGCACAGACACAGUCAACCUUGAACAACCGUAACCGGCCCAAACUGCCCAUUUCAAAUACUCACUCGCAGUGUCGACCCCACCAGUGGGCGCUCUCGUCUUUGUCGCUGUCGUCCUUGCUCUCCUCCCCUCCCUCGUCCUCCGACUGGUCUCCCAGCAGGUCAAAAGCAGGGCUGCUCACGCCGUCCACCAACUCCAAGACGGGCGCAAUGCUGUGCCGCCUCUCUUCAGCGGAGUCACUCAGGGCGGGUAAGGCCAACGUGUUGGCCCCGCUCAUCUCCGUCCUGGAGCUGCUUCGGCUUCCUCUCCCGCUGCCGGGACCCGCGCUGCCUGGGUCUGGACCUUCCGGGCUGCUGUCGCUGGAAUCCUGAAGGUCGAUGGCUACCGUGCCUGAAAACGACAGAAAGACACAGCAAUGAAUCAAGGUGUGGUGAAGCGAAUAAUUCCUCUGCGUGUCAACGGAACCCAUCGACAGAAGCCAAGUGUUAUUUUACGAGAAUGGCUGGCUGUUGGAAAAAAAGAAUCAGAAGAAGAGAACUCACUGUCCUCUGGAGGAGUGGAUCAACAGAGUAAUGAGUGUCGAAGUACCGGGGCACACGCAGUUCAAAGCCAGCAUGGCAUACUUGAACUCUUCCUCACACACCACAUGAUCUGCGGACAAAGAGGACAGCGGGAACACGUGACUCACUUGGCCCUCAUCAGGUCUUGGUCUUUGAGAGCAGAGCCCUGCAGGUAGAUGACUCUCUGGGCCCACAGUGGAACAUGAAGUACUCUUCGAACCUGG